GCCUUAAAAGCUUACGAAAAGCAGUUAGUCUUGUAAACUAAAAGAGAAGGUUUGACUCCCUCUUAAGGCU
rnacentral:tRNA from 1 species